rnacentral:rRNA from 1 species
AAAAGUGACCGGUACCUUGCAGAAGAAGCACCGGCUAACUACGUGCCAGCAGCCGCGGUAAUACGUAGGGUGGCGAGCGUUAUCCGGAAUUAUUNGGGCGUAAAGAGCUCGUAGGCGGUUUGUCGCGUCUGUCGUGAAAGUCCGGGGCUUAACCCCGGAUCUGCGGUGGGUACGGGCAGACUAGAGUGCAGUAGGGGAGACUGGAAUUCCUGGUGUAGCGGUGGAAUGCGCAGAUAUCAGGAGGAACACCGAUGGCGAAGGCAGGUCUCUGGGCUGUAACUGACGCUGAGGAGCGAAAGCAUGGGGAGCGAACAGGAUUAGAUACCCUGGUAGUCCAUGCCGUAAACGUUGGGCACUAGGUGUGGGGACCAU